rnacentral:lncRNA from 1 species
UGCCGGGGGGCGCGGCGGGCGCAGCAGAGCGGCGGGCGGCGGCGGCGUCGUCGAGCGCAGACAAUACAAGCGCCUCGGACCGAGUCCCCGAACCUGCCCUAGCCAAAAUGGCGGCCGAGAAAGAGCGGAAGUGACGGUCUCACUCUGUUGUCCAGGCAUGAUCACAGCUCACUGCAGCCUUGACCUCCCAGACUCAAGUGAACCUCCCACCUCAGCCUCCCAAGUAGCUGGGACCACAGGAAAUGGACAUAUGGAACUCAUCAUUCAUUUUAAAGUAUGGUGGCCAUUGGCGGUGACAAAAGGAAAAGAAGCAAAGAGACUCAGUCCAUAAUGCUGAUUAGUUAGAAGAAAGGGCUAGGAUUGAGAAAGUACCAGGAACUUUUAAUUAUUUAAAAGAGAAUGCUGACUGUUAAUGUUUUAAAUCUUACUGUUCAAAUGUACUAAUAUGAAUUUUUACCCUUUGUGCAUGAAUAUUCUAAACAACUAGAAGACCUCCACAAUUUAGCAGUUAUGAAAGUUAAACUUUUUAUUAUAAAAAUUCUAAACCUUACUGCUCCUUUACCAGGAACAUGACACACUAUUUAGCAUCAGUUGCAUAC